CACGGGGGGAGCAAGCGUUGUUCGGAAUCACUGGGCGUAAAGGGCGUGUAGGCGGUCAGGUAAGUGGGAUGUGAAAUGCCUCGGCUCACCCGAGGCACUGCAUUCCAAACUGCUUGGCUUGAGUAUGGGAGAGGAUGAGGGAAUUCCUGGUGUAGCGGUGAAAUGCGUAGAUAUCAGGAGGAACACCGGUGGCGAAGGCGCUCAGCUGGCCCAAUACUGACGCUGAGGCGCGAAAGCUAGGGGAGCAAACGGG
rnacentral:rRNA from 1 species